CACCCGGUUGUAAGAGUGUGUGUGUGUGUGCGUCUUGUCAUUUUCGGGUUUCUCUUCAGGAAGAUGAAAACAAAAAACAGUAAGAAGAAGAACAACUAUCAUUGCGAAGUGUAAACAAUCAAUGUUAACGCCAAGAAGCUGUGGUAUUUUUCAUCAAUUUACUCAAAAUUAUGCAAGGAAAUCAUUGCGCUAGUUUUGCUUCAGUAUUACGGAGGCAUUUCAAGGGCAUUGGAGAUGGUAAGGCCACUGGGUUGUUGCUGGGUGUAUUAUGUAGACGCCAAGGUUGUUACCGCCAGACCGAGCGUUCUAACGGCAGAUUCCCGGAGAAAAAAAAAAAACAUUUAUAACCACCAUUUGACUCUGUUAUUGGGCCCUUAAACAAUAGAUGUGCAAGCUGUUUGAUGGCUAUGAUGCCAUUUCCAAUGCCAAACGAUAAACUAAAGGAUUUGUUUUUCUA